CAAAAAUUGUUUGUUGUGGACAGGUUUGUCGCAGGUCUGAUAACAAGCUUGCUGCAGACUUGACAAAAACAACUCGCGACAGGUCUGUUGGAACAGGUUGUAACAGACCUGUUGAUUUCAACAGACCUGCUGCAAGUUCUUCUAUCAGACCUGUUAUCUCUUGUUAGUAACAGGCUUGUAGCGGGUUGUUUCAACAAGUCGCUACGGCUCUGUUGUCAACAGCUUGCGACAGACCUGUUACCGCAAGCCUGUUACCGCCUGACGAAACCAACAGACCUGUCGCGACUUGUUGACAACUUGCCGCAAGCCGGUAAAAUCAACAGCUUGCGACAGGCCUGUGAGAUUUCUGGCUGUGUAGA